UGGUUCCACUCCACUUUCCUCGUUGCCUCUUGUUGUCUCAGUAUCUUCUGAAAUAUGGAUACUCUUAUGGCUAAUUACAAAGACGAUGAGGACGAUCGUGACAUUGGCGACCAACCCCAUCCACCCUCCUCCACCGCCACCACCACCACCACCACCACCACCACUAAAACACCAUCACUGGCGGUGGCGCCACUGAAGCCCCUUCUGAUGCGCUGCCAAAAACUGAGCCCCAGCCCGAGGUGGAACAAGAGGUCGAGGCCGAACCCGAAAUUGGAAGCGGCGGCAUCAGAGAAGAGCAACCGACGGCAAUGGUAUUGGAAGACCUCUCCUCCGACGAAAUCUCCGACGACAACGAAAACCCUAAAGCAGAAGAAGGGAAUGGGUCAAGGAAUUCUCCUAAUUUCACCAAAGUCUCGGAGGACACUGAAGACGAAGAAGACUACGAAGAUGAGCCCCCGCCAAAGAAGCAGAAGCAGCUCUCUUCGUUAACCUGUCCAUCGCCGGAAAACCCUGAAAAGCUGAAUCUUGGUGGAAUUACCACGCCUGCAGCUGCCGCUGCAGAAACGCCGCCAGCUGCUAUGGCGAAAUCUGGCUCGAAAAGCAGCAAGAAAUCCAAGAAAAAGAACAAUAAUGUAUGGACAAGGCCGACUUCGAGAAAAGGGAAAAAGAAGGGGAAAAACAAUGGUAAUCAGAACGGAAACAAUACUACAAAUAUUGCUGAAUCAGAGGAUAAGGUAUUAAUAACCCCAAUCCCCAGGUUUCCGGACAAAAAUGAUGAUAGCCCGGAUGCGGCAAUAUGUCUUUCUAAGGUUUAUAAAGCUGAGAAGGUGGAAUUGAGCGAGGAUAGAUUGAGUGCUGGGAGCACUAAAGGGUAUAGAAUGGUGAGGGCGACCAGAGGGGUGGUUGAAGGGGCAUGGUAUUAUGAAAUUAAGGUAGUACAUUUAGGCGAUACCGGUCACACGAGGCUGGGGUGGUCAACGGAUAAAGGGGAUUUGCAGGCGCCAGUUGGAUAUGAUGGGAACAGUUUUGGUUAUAGGGAUAUUGAUGGGAGCAAAGUGCACAAGGCUGUGAGGGAAAAGUAUGGGGAGGACGGAUAUAAAGAAGGUGAUGUUAUUGGUUUCUAUAUCAAUUUGCCUGAAGGGAAUUUGUAUACCCCCAAGCCACCUAGAUGGAUAUGGUACAAAGGUCAGAAGUAUGUCUCUGCUCCCGAUGCAAAAGAUGAUCCUCCCAAAGUGGUGCCUGGAAGUGAGAUAUCUUUCUUCAAGAAUGGAGUAUGCCAAGGCACCGCAUUCAAGGAUCUUUAUGGUGGUCGUUAUUUCCCAGCUGCCUCGAUGUAUACGCUGCCAAACCAACCUAAUUGCACUGUCAAGUUCAACUUUGGACCCGAUUUUGAAUCUUUUCCAGAGGACUUUGGUGGACGGAUGGUGCCAAGACCUAUGGUUGAAGUUCCAUAUCAUGGCCUUGAUGUCAGAGUUGAGAAUGGUAGUGCUUGGUAUCCACCAGAAUGUGUCCCAUGCUUAAUGUGGUAAAAGAGCAAGGUACUAAAAUUGUGGAAGCUGCUGAAAUGGUCAGUUAAGCUUGACGAAUUCAUUCAGGGCGUGACGGUAGCUCACGACGUCUUGGUGAUCGUGGUGCAUGAAACACCAUUUACUUGGUUGGAGAAUGAACUUUUUUGGAAAGAUUGUGAUAGUUGGAUGACAAGUUGAGCUUUGUACAUGUAUUUUGAAUAGCUCCUUGAGGGUGAAAACCCUAAGUGUUUUGAUUCCACCAAUGUUUGGUGUGUAAUUGGCUAGUGAUAUAUGUAUGAACUAGAUGGAUAUGUUUGGUAGGCCGUUUGGCUUGUAAAUGUUGAUUUCCAAUGUAUGUAUAUGCUUGGUUGUGGUUUGGAUAAA